rnacentral:rRNA from 1 species
ACGCUGGCGGCGUGCCUAAUACAUGCAAGUAGAACGCUGAAGAGAGGAGCUUGCUCUUCUUGGAUGAGUUGCGAACGGGUGAGUAACGCGUAGGUAACCUGCCUUGUAGCGGGGGAUAACUAUUGGAAACGAUAGCUAAUACCGCAUAACAAUAGGUGACACAUGUCAUUUAUUUGAAAGGGGCAAUUGCUCCACUACAAGAUGGACCUGCGUUGUAUUAGCUAGUAGGUGAGGUAACGGCUCACCUAGGCGACGAUACAUAGCCGACCUGAGAGGGUGAUCGGCCACACUGGGACUGAGACACGGCCCAGACUCCUACGGGAGGCAGCAGUAGGGAAUCUUCGGCAAUGGGGGCAACCCUGACCGAGCAACGCCGCGUGAGUGAAGAAGGUUUUCGGAUCGUAAAGCUCUGUUGUAAGUCAAGAACGAGUGUGAGAGUGGAAAGUUCACACUGUGACGGUAGCUUACCAGAAAGGGACGGCUAACUACGUGCCAGCAGCCGCGGUAAUACGUAGGUCCCGAGCGUUGUCCGGAUUUAUUGGGCGUAAAGCGAGCGCAGGCGGUUUGAUAAGUCUGAAGUUAAAGGCUGUGGCUCAACCAUAGUUCGCUUUGGAAACUGUCAAACUUGAGUGCAGAAGGGGAGAGUGGAAUUCCAUGUGUAGCGGUGAAAUGCGUAGAUAUAUGGAGGAACACCGGUGGCGAAAGCGGCUCUCUGGUCUGUAACUGACGCUGAGGCUCGAAAGAGUGGGGAGCGAACAGGAUUAGAUACCCUGGUAGUCCACGCCGUAAACGAUGAGUGCUAGGUGUUGGAUCCUUUCCGGGAUUCAGUGCCGCAGCUAACGCAUUAAGCACUCCGCCUGGGGAGUACGACCGCAAGGUUGAAACUCAAAGGAAUUGACGGGGGCCCGCACAAGCGGUGGAGCAUGUGGUUUA